rnacentral:sRNA from 12 species
UCCUGACUGAUUGUUCCAUGUGGAACAUCAGACACUAGCCAAGACAGGAGAACCUCAUG